GGCCCGCGUUGACCACGCCCCCGGCCCUGCCUGCCCCUCCGUUGUCGAGCGUUUUCCGCUGACGGAGCCCUCACCUCAGACACCGGCGGUAGGGCUGGAUGCGGGCCCGGCCCAGGACCGGUCUUGUGUCCUCACACCGGGGAGGACCACGCAGGAAGGAGCUGAGUCAGAGAGACCGUGUGUAAUUUGCUCAGCGUCACACAGAUAGUAAACGGCAGAGCCGCUCUUCCUCCCUGUCCCGCCAGCUCCUGCCUUCUGCUGUCUUGGAUCUCCUAUGCACGGGAAACCUGUUGAAGGUAGGACAGCCGAAAGCACCCUGGGAGCCCAUGAAGUAUUAUUAUUGCUCAAGAAAGGAAACAUGGCAGAGAAACAAGCAGAAGCAGCUCUGGCUGACAGCCUGAGGGUAAAGAGCACUGGAGAAGUAAAGAAAAGGAAAAGGUCACCACCCUGAUCUGACAUGUUGAAUUGAGAG